AUUGAACGCUGGCGGCAGGCCUAACACAUGCAAGUCGAACGGUAACAGCAAGCAGCUUGCUGCUUUGCUGACGAGUGGCGGACGGGUGAGUAAUGUCUGGGAAACUGCCUGAUGGAGGGGGAUCACUACUGGAAACGGUAGCUAAUACCGCAUAACGUCGCAAGAUCAAAGAGGGGGACCUUCGGGCCUCUUGCGAUCGGAUAUGCCCAGAUGGGAUUAGCUAGUAGGUGGGGGAACGGCUCACCUAGGCGACGAUCCCUAGCUGGUCUGAGAGGAUGACCAGCCACACUGGAACUGAGACACGGUCCAGACUCCUACGGGAGGCAGCAGUGGGGAAUAUUGCACAAUGGGCGCAAGCCUGAUGCAGCCAUGCCGCGUGUAUGAAGAAGGCCUUCGGGUUGUAAAGUACUUUCAGCGGGGAGGAAGGGAGUAAAGUUAAUACCUUGGCUCAUUGACGUUACCCGCAGAAGAAGCACCGGCUAACUCCGUG
rnacentral:rRNA from 1 species